UGAGCAAGAGUGAGACCCUGUCUCUACUAAAAAUAAAGAGAAAUUAGCUGGACAAUUAAAAAUAUAUAGAAAGGUCUGUAAUCUUGGUGGGCAAUACAGAGUUAUGUGUGUUCACUCUAAGGGCAGACCAACAAGAACUUUUUCCUACUUUUUAGCCACCUCUUUUUAAUAGGAGUGAUUCUUCCAGUUGCCAGGGAGAAAUUGUGGUAACUGGAGUGAGAAAGUGGGAACAGGGCAUGUUAAAAGAAAAAAAAGAUUUUAUAUAUGUGUGUGUGUGUGUGUGUGUGUGUGUGUGUGUGUGUGUGUGUGUGUAUAAAAUUUAG
rnacentral:snoRNA from 12 species